AUACCCCUUUUAUUUUGUUAGAAGCCUGUACCACCCCUCUUCAUGCCAUGAAACCCACAUCUAGACGCUUUUCACCUUAUUGCUAUUUAGCUCUAUGUUAUAAACAUUGUAACUUAUUUUCAUCAAAUGAGAAAUUGUGAAAUUUCAUUUCAUGGAACAUUUGCUAUAUUUAUUGGGUGUCCUUUUUCACUACUCUGUGUGUUUGUGUGUGUGUGUGUGUGUGUGUGUGUGUGUGUGUGUGUGUGUAUUAUGAUAAUGUAGUGUAGAAGUUAAUUGCUAAAAUUCCCAAGGACAUAAAAAAGAAUAAGAUGAAAAAUAAAUAGAAGACUUUGAAAAGAAUUGGUGAAUGCCAUGACAUGGUUAAGGAAGCUUUUAGUGGAUUUGGUUGGAAGGAUUCUUUAACAUGUGACAAGUUGAAACUGGAGUUUUGGAGCCGUGAUAAAUUGCUAUAUUUUUGUGAGUUUAUUUUUAUUACAAAGAUUUAUAUUUGUUUACAUAGUGCUAAGAAUGUUUUUUUAGUGUCUAAAUUUGUAGUCAAGAAAUGGUUGAAAAUACAUAUUUUGACACAUUACUAUGGUACAACUUUGAGCCAAAUUCAUAGCAAUAGUUGAUCUUGCUGAGACUGAAAAGGAGAAACGCGUAAGGUAUGUUACCUUGAGUACUACUAAUGACAUCGAUAUGAUGAUUUUAUAAAAUGAAGUUCUUUUGUAAAGCUUUAAAAUGGAUGAAAUUGAUCAAAUUAUGUCACUUGAAUUUAAGGCUUUCCAAAUGAUCAAGUGAAGAAGGAGAAAACCUUUUUAUAAAAGCAAAAAAAAUACUAGAUUAUGGUAAAAAGAACACAAUACAAUUGCUCAUUAUUUGAUAAUAUGGCUAUGACAAUUGAUAAGGCAACUAAUGUUAUUACUGUUAUUGCGAAGUCUUUAUAAAAAAUAUCGAGUAGAAACCUUAAUGGCUUUGCAGGUAUUGGACUGUAUACAAAUUGUGUUAUUGACUUCAUAUUUUUUUGUGGAUAAUCCUAUUUAUAAUGAGAUUUUAUUUGGUUGCACAGUUGAAUUCACAAAUGGCUCUUUUUGUAGUCACUAGUGACAGAAGUUGGAUGCCAUUCCAAUUCCUGUAAAGCUGUAACGAUUUCCGUUGAAGUCUUUUUGUUAAAGACUUUGCAAUAACACUCUUAAUAUCGGUUGGCUUAUUACUUAUCAAAAACAUAUCAGUUGGCUUAUUAGUUUUCAUCAUAUCAUAAAUGAAUGGUUAAUUGUAUUAUAUUUUUCAUCAUAUUCUGGUAUUUUUGUCACUUUUAGAAGACUUUCUGGUGAAGGUGCUUGGAAAGGAUAAGCAUCAAUCUCAAAUAACAUCGUUUGUUUGCUUUCAUCAACUUCAAGUUGUCAAAAUAAAUUUUAAUCUGGAAGACCAACAUAUAUAUCGAUGUCAUCUAUAGUGUUUGAUAUUAUAUACCUUACAUGUUUCUCCUUUGCAGCCUUAGCGUGAUCACCUGCUGCUCUAUCUUUGGUCCAAAUUUGGGAUGUCUAAAACAAUGUUAUCGAGUCUUGAUGUUUAUUCUUUGAUGAAAGUCAUUGUUUAGUGAGCAUUGAUUCUUGUGGAGAGAGUCUCAACGUUAUCUGUUCAUGUCACUAUUUGUAUUGAAAAGUUUAAGUUAAAUGUAAUUGUGCAGCUGCACAUAACUGUGUAUAGGUUUUUAUACAAUUUGUUUCAAAUAUAAAAAUGCGGCCAAGAAUAUGGAUGAUUCAAAUUAACACACUUUAUAUUGAUGCACAUGCUGAGGUAUGAAGUAAUUUUCUUUUGCGUCAAGCAUCUAUCAUAGCAACGUUAUGUUUCUUUCAUAAAAUGUCUCCUGUUUUGUCUGGAUUCUGUUUUCCUGUCCAAUUUUUUUUAUUAGAUUGUUGGGUCCCUUUUGGAGAGGUUGUUACUUCUAAUAGUAUAAAGAUAUUGUGUCAUUGGCUUUUUUGGGUUUAGUAGUUUUCCCUCCUGGUAUAAAAACAUUUGCAUCAUAGCUAUAUUUACUUAUUAAAUGAUCUUGGAAAACAUUUUCUGUAUUUUUCUCUGCUGUGCUAAGUUAGGAGAAUUGACUUGAAUUCAUGUAAAUUUGUGGAUUGGAUCUGUGGCAUGGUGGUUUUAGGAAGUUAUUGGCUGAGAGUUCAGCUCUUUCCAGUAUUGGAUUGUUUCAGGAAUGGUGGUGGACGAGAUGUGUUACUUUUUAGGAGUCUUUGGCUAUUAAAUGUAAUGAUUUCUGAUUUUGGGGUAUUUUUUUCUCGAGUUCUUAAAGUGGAUUAUUUUCUAUGCAUGCCAUUCUAGUUUUUCAAAUCAUGGGAUAUAGUUAUUAUUGUAGAAAAUGAGAUUAUUAUUGCCCUUCUCCACUUUGCAAAGGUAGAGAUAGUUAGUUUCUUGGAUUUGGGUUUGACAUUUUGAUUAUAGUGAAUGCCAAUAAUUGUUUUGAAUUAAAGGUUUUGGACUGGAUAGAAAAACCAUCUUUUUGAAUGCUUUUUGCAGUUGAAUUUUAUACAAUGCAAUGGACUAAGCUCACUAGUAGGAUAUCAAACCAUGUUCUUAAGCAUUUCUAUCAUGUCCUUACAAUCUCUUCAUCCAUCUUGUUAAUUAAACCAUUGGUUCUCAAUUCAACCAAUUUCUGUAUUUACAGUUUAGACAUGUUAUUUCCACAAUUUUUUUCACAACUAAGAAAACAUGCCUUGCACAUUACACUACUGCUAGUAUGUAUGUAUAUAUAUAUAUAUACAUGGGAACCUGUAUGUGAUGCUAGAUAUAUAUGUAUAGUCGUCGGGCGCAUCGCGUGUGAAACAUUUUUCCUAGAGAGAGAGGCUCUCACUUCUCUCUAGAACCCGAAACAGAAAAGCUACCCAGAGGGAGGUGGGAGCCUCGGCUCCUCCCUCCCUCCCACCUUCCCCGUUAUUUCCUUUUUUUUUUUACCGGUUUUUCUCCAGUUUUUAUUUUGUUUAGGUGCUUGAGAAUAAGGCCUUCGGUGGUUGUAGUUAUGGAGGCUUAAGGGCGACAGGGAUCCGUUUGCAUGGCUGUUGCAUCGUGGCUCAAGUCCACUUCCCCAAAGGCUUCAUUUUAAAGACCAUCCCGCCACGAACCAACUACGCGGUGGGUGAGAACAUUAACUCUGUUGCUGUGAAGCAGAAAUGGUGGCAGCGUUGAUGGAGCUGGAGAUCCUUGAAGUGAGUGGCAUGGUCCAUCUAUGGUGGUGCUAGGCGUGAGUGGUGUUGCGGUGCAACACGGAGGGAUGCAUUUUGGUGCUCUACUUGCCCUAAGGAAAACAGAGGUUGCUGGGGUGCAGUCGAGGUUGAAGUUUUACAGUAGAAAAUGCCUCUUGCUGUCGGUGGUGGCAGUGUUUUAGAGCUAGAGAUUCUCGGCGUGGAGGGGUGUUGGGCUUGCGUGCUCAACCUAUGGUGGUGGAUGCAGUUCACUCGUGGUGGGUGACGGUAUGCAAAGAAAUGAAAUGAAGCUCGGGCAUGGGGGCAGUAGGAAAAGAAAGAAAAAAGAGGAAGGGGCUGCAAAAAUGAUAGAGAUGAAACCCUAAGGGCCUUCCCACUUGCAAAUAGGCUGGACUUUUUUUGUUUGGGCUAGGGCCAAGCACUUAUUUGCAUCUUUUCUGUCCCGUGAUGAACCUUUCAAGCUCAUAAAUGAUGGAUGGUUGAAUCAUAGUAAUGGUGUCAAAGGAGCUACAAAACAGCAGGUGUUGAAUGAUAACUUCGUUUAUUAUGGUGACUAACAUCAGUUUUUAUUUUUAUUUUUAUUCUGCAUCAACUGCUGCCUCAUUUCUCCGACGAGCAGACGUUUUUAAGUUUGGAAGAAAUUUCCAUAACAAAGGUCUAGACAUCAGAAGUUGCUAUAUGAAGUUUUUUACCAUCUUAAAUGUACAAGGGAGGGUUUGGCAUCUGAUUCACUGCAAGAACGAUUGGAUUUAUUUGGGGAUACAACAAACUUGAGGAGAAAAAGAUCUACAUUUCAGCUGGCAGAGAAUCUCUGCUCAAUGUGACAAAAGGUUUUGAGGAUACAGUAGAGUACUUACACUACUUUGGAUUGGUUGAUCUUAGUCUCUUCUCAUGGCUUAAAAAGAAGAAGGGGGAAAAGAAAGGAAAUUUGUUGUACGGAUACAGAUAUAGACACAUAGUGACAACAGCAAUAUCAGCAAGAUCUAAAACAUGAUCAGCAUCUACUUCCCAGCUAGUAAACCAUGUAAUUGCAUUCCUUCCUAGAUGAACCCAAGUGGAUAUGUGUUUUGUUGACUUGAGUGUUUGGGUAACAAUUAAUUGAGUUCUUUUAAGAUGAAAUGUCAAAAUCUAUUUCAAUCUGGACAAAGGAAGGUGAAGGUCCUAUUUUAGGAUGCAGAUUUGUCAACCAUUCAUGUUCACAGAUUGGUUAAAUUGAUAGAAUUUUUAAGUUUGGGUUUCAGUGCAAGCCAACAAAGCUAAUUAAGUGAAACUCCUGCAGUAAUAAUAUCACAAUUUCCCCUUCAAAUUAACUCCACAAAUAGAAUCAUAGUUAAAUAUACGAAUUUUAUUUAAAUGUUUUACCAAACUUCAUGACUUCAAACCUAUUUUUUAGCUUGUUCUAUGACCCACCAACCAAAAUGGCCAUGAAAGGUUGAGUAAUCUCUACAGACUCGAUAUGUACUUUGUAUUUAAAAUAGUUGGAUGAGUUGGAUCAUCUUUGCUUUUUUCUUUUUUCUUGGCAGUUGGUUAAAUUCUACAUUACCUAAAAAAUGCCUCUGUUUAAGCAACAUCUAGUAUCUUGGAAUGAACUUAGAUUCCAAAAAGGAAUGGUACAGCCCCAAAUAAGCAUAGUACAUUGAUAGUAUAUAAAUUUCAUUUGUCGUAAAGCGUGUAAAACACUAGUGAUCCACGAGACCCCCUUGGGGUGAUCCACCCUGAAGGAUGGCUCCUCUUACCAUUUUUUAAGUUUUUAUUUUUAAUUUUUGUUUUUGAAUUAUUAUUGGAAAUUAUUGGAUUGCUUCUAGCUAUUUGAUUAAAAAUGGAAGACCCCACUCACAUGCAUGCAUGUACUGAGAGAGGUGAUUUUUGAGUUCUAUAAGAUGAGUAUUGCGGCUUAGGGUAUGGAGAAAAAACAUUUUUCUUUGAACUUGAGUUCAGAGGCAUGGAGAAGAAAUAUUGUUCUUCGGUUUCUACUAUUUUAGUCUUAUCAUGCUUCUACUUUCAUCUUUGUGUGCUUCUAAUUUAACUGCUUGAGCGAAAGUAAAUGGUCUUGGUGAAAGCCAUGUGUACUUGAAGGAACUUUGAUAAACAGAGUUAUGUACUGCAAGCACUUAUUCAAAUUAUAGUGCUCUUGGGGAAUCUGGCACAGAUUGAAGCAGCCAUCAAAGGAGGCUUUGAUGUGAAAUGGAAGGAAGAUACUGCAGCUUGUUGUGCCUGCACUGAGUCUAUGGGAGUUUGUGGUUAUGACGUGAUGAGUAAAAAUAGAUGGAAACAAUUUAUACAUGCAGUGGCAGUAUUACAGUAGAUGGAAACAAUCUAGGAGAUAGCAUGAAAUGUGUCUUUUUCUUAGUCAAUCGAGUUCAGUUGAAUUGUUGAGUAUACUAAUUACUAGGAGAACCACCACUGCCACUGGCAUUUUAAUUAGUACAUGACAUGCUUUAUGAUUAGGAUUGUUGGAGCAAAACUUUGCUGAAAAUACAUAAAUUAACUCUCUCUCUCUCUCUCUCUCUCUCUCUCUCUUGAUUAACUUUAAUUUUUCUUAUGCAUGCUUCCCCGCUAUAUAUAUCAUUUUACUGAUUAGGGUUGAUUCAAACUCUGUUUCGGGUCAUGGAUAAUGUUUUUUUAUCGUUCUUUCUUUCUUUUUUUUUUUUUUUUUUUUGUAAUAUCUCUUUCUCAUGCUUUGUUUACCAUAUUAAGGAAUUCGAUCGGUUGAUAUUCAAUUAUUUGCUUUUAGUAUAUAAGUAAAGGGGUUCUUAGAAUUAAAAACCAACUUUAAGUAAUUAAAGACCAUAUAUAUCUCAAUAAUCUUAAUAUGUAAAAGCUUGUCUCAUCAUGAUCACUAGUUAACUGAUCUCAUUUUAUACAGAUUGGAGCAAUUAUGGAGGUAAUUCCAAAGUUAUAAGUUGGGUGUGAGGGGAAAGCAUAUAGCAAUUAUGGAGGUUAUGGCCCUACCAUGGGAGGCUACAACUCCAACUAUAGAUCUGGAAUUACAGAAGAUUCACUGAAGAUGUUACUCUUUUUUGCAAAGAUUUUGAUUGUAUCUCAAAAUGUUCAUUCAUGUUAUGUAUUUAGAUAGCCACAGUAUUUGUAUAACUGGAAUGAUUUUAAGUAUGGGGAUCUGUUCUUGUAGUUGUAUUAGUCAUUUAUCAAUACUUUGAUGGCAUUUAUUUCA